UAGGGAAUCUUCCACAAUGGGCGCAAGCCUGAUGGAGCAACACCGCGUGAGUGAAGAAGGGUUUCGGCUCGUAAAGCUCUGUUGUUAAAGAAGAACACGUAUGAGAGUAACUGUUCAUACGUUGACGGUAUUUAACCAGAAAGUCACGGCUAACUACGUACCAG
rnacentral:rRNA from 1 species